GGGGACGUUACGGAUUCGACAGGGAUGAUCUGGGCUUGAGUUGCGCGUCGGAGGGUCGUCUUCGUCACAAACGCAUUUAUAACAACUGGCAAAACAAACCAAAACCUAGCAUUCGCAGCGUAAGCUCGGAUCUGCUUUAUCUAUCCAUCGCCCAUGUGGCUGGGUAAAGCUCAACUUUAGUGGGAUACACCGUUUGCUACCAUCUGAGGCAACCGGGAGAGAUUCUCAGAUUAGUGCCCAGGACGCCUGCUUAUCGGCAGAAUGGCGCAUGAAACCUUAAUAGAUGAGCUACACGCGUAGAUGCUUAAGUAGCGGAGUUUCUGGACGCGGGUUCGACUCCCGCCGUCUCCAUAG
rfam:Planococcus sp. PAMC 21323, complete genome.